GGAAGACUGCUACCCUCCAAAACCUCUGAUGGAAGAGCAUUACUGAUGGAAGAGCAUUAAAAUGUGCCUACAACCAUUCUCCUAUACUUAGGCACCAUUAGCAUGCCAAGGAUAGAUCACCCAAAGAGAAAGUGAGCCCUGAAGCAAAACCAAGAUCAAGGGAAAACACUGUGGAAAAAACCUAUUGCAACUCUACCAAAAGGCAAACACACUCAGGAAACCAAACAUUAAUGGCUUCAAAGCAAACCUUUUUCUAAAGGUAACUGGUGACAUCAUAUUUGUGUUAUUUGAUGAAGAAAUUGCCUUAAAAAAAAAGACAUAUAUGUCAGA